CGAGUGGCGGACGGGUGAGUAACGCGUAGGAAUUUACCUCAAAGCGGGGGAUAGCCCGGAGAAAUCCGGAUUAAUACCGCAUGUGCUCUACGGAGUAAAGCGGGCCUCUUCUUGAAAGCUCGCACUUUGAGAUAAGCCUACGUCGGAUUAGCUUGUUGGUAGGGUAAAAGCCUACCAAGGCGACGAUCCGUAGCUGGUUUGAGAGGAUGAUCAGCCACACUGGGACUGAGACACGGCCCAG
rnacentral:rRNA from 1 species